UGUAUUAGCGUAAUUCCUUAAGAAAUUGUUGCUAUUGUUAUAUACAGAAGAAAGCAUUGUUUUAAGUAAAAAUACAAAUAAAUUAUGGAAGUUUAUGGAGUUUAAAACUUUUCAAGUGAAGAUUGAACCACAGACCCGUAGCUAGAGGUAGAGUCAACCAUUUAUGAACCACUCCUGCUCAUUCUGUAGUUUAUAGAAAAGAAACAGUGGCUAAUAAAUUCUGCAAACCGUUCGAAGAUUUUAAAUAGAAAUACUAGAUAACGCUGAUAAAAGCAUUGUCUUCGUUUUAUCAUAUAACAAUAAGCUUAUUUACUGUAUGGACGUUGAUCUGACUGACAAAAUUAAUCAAACUUUAAUACUAUCGUGACAUUAUUAACAACAGAAUAUGACGAUUUGGUGACAUUACAUUAGUCCAUUAAACGUGUUUAAUCUAGAUAUAAUAAUCUAUAUAUUUUAAUAUUCAUAUGGUCAAAGUUUAAAUAACAAUAGAAGAUACAUAGAAAUUCUUUAGUUUUGUGGAGGAAAUAAAGGUUCCAAAAGGAU